UACGUAGGGCGCAAGCGUUGUCCGGAAUUAUUGGGCGUAAAGAGCUCGUAGGCGGCUUGUCACGUCGAUUGUGAAAGCCCGAGGCUUAACCUCGGGUCUGCAGUCGAUACGGGCUAGCUAGAGUGUGGUAGGGGAGAUCGGAAUUCCUGGUGUAGCGGUGAAAUGCGCAGAUAUCGAGAGGAACACCAGUGGCGAAGGCGACUCACUGGGCUCCACCUGACGCUGAGGCGCGAAAGCGUGGGGAGCGAACCGG
rnacentral:rRNA from 1 species